UAAGCAGUUCUGUGUAUAACUGUCUGAAGAGGUAAUCAUCACAUUUAGGAUUAUAGCUAUACUUCCUGCUAGCUUGACAGAAUUCUUCAUUUUCAGUUUGAUAAUAAGAACAACUUCUUCCUUAGCAAGUUCUGCUGGUUAAAUUUAUUGUGACUGUGAUAGAGACUUCUCAGAAGUAGCGUUUGCACUCAGGUUUGACUGAGUGUUUGAUUGCAAUCUAGUUUUUUGAAAUGGCAUUAACAGAUUGUGGGAAUAGUUUCCUAAAAUCCCAUUACGGGAUGACAAGGAACUGUAUAAGGAUAAUACAAUGCACAGCAAGGCAAAAUUAAUAAAUUCAGAAUAUCUAAUGCAGCCUGAUUUUAAGAAGAGUCUCUAGGGAAUAGGUAGCAAAAUGUUUGACAGUUUGUACUGCAUGUAAUAUUAUUGGAGCAUCAAGAGGCCCUAUAGCUUGUAUUUCUCUAAUGACAACUACUACUUGUGUAAAAUUUGUGUCCCUUAUAAUUAUCCUGGUGCUUAUUAUGUAGGUAUAUAUGUUGCUCUGACAAUAAUACUAAAAAAGUCUGCAGGCAUUGUGAAAGAUUGCAUUGUACAUAGUGGUAUCAAUGAAAUGAAUAUAUCUUCAUAAUAAAAAGUACAACACAUUAAAUUUACAACAAUGAAAUAUUUUUCUUUCAAUUUUUUUAUAUAUAUGGGACAUGGGCAGCACAGACAAAAAGGCUUCUUGUACAAGUUUUUGCUCGUGUCCUUGUGAAAUUCCAGAGCAAAAAAGUUACUUACAUGAAUUUUAUAUGUCAGAAUUCAAUAAAAGUUGUCAUUAAUGACUAGCUAAAUAUGUUUGCCUUCCUUAUGACCUUUGUGUGCUUGCAUAGACAGUGAAUAUAUGCCAGCAUAUCUGAUUGGGGUUAAGCGCAACAUGAUUUAGAUUUGACUUGCUUUAGCACUUUACACAAAUAAUUUCAUUGCCUCAAGCCUGUCAGUUAUUCCUUGUGGUGAAAGGCUUGUGACCAUGUACUUAAUAGACUGUUGGAAGUUCUGUGAGUAAAAUUUUAGCACCUUUGUCAAUUCUGAUGUCUUCUGGUCUGUCCUCCAAAUGGUAUGUGCAUCUUUAUUUUGGUAAACUUUGUAGUACUAUUUCUGUACUAGUUUAUAAUUUAAUAUUGGUAUUGAUAUUAUUCAAAGAGAAAAAUCAUUUGGGCUGAAAAUAUUAACCUUAUUUGACUUUUCUGAAAUGUCAUAGGUAUAAUAGCAAUAAUAAUUUUAAACAAUGUGUAGUGUUACAAUAGAAUCAAUAAUUUUGAGGUGUGUUAAUUUCAAUUUUCAGUUUCAUCUGAGGAAUAAGAAAAAAUGGGGUUAUAGAGAUGUUCAGCAAUCUAUCCCUCUCUGGUAACUACAGAAAACUGUCUAAGGGAUCAGACAAAAGUAUGUCAUCUCAGUUUAACAGCAGAAAUAAUAUAAUCAUUCUUUCCCCCAUGUGUUGCCACCAAAAAAAAAAACAACAAAACAAAACAAAACAAAAAACAAACCAAAAAAACACCCCAAAAAACCCCAAAGCAAAACAAAAAAAAACCCCUUUUCCUUAUGGAAUCAUGACACUUUCCAAUGGAAAACCAAAACACUUCAGUGAAAUUAUUAUUUUCCCUUGGCCAAAAAUUUGAAUAUAGAUUCAAGACUUGUCAUUCUAGCAUACAUCUAGUCUUUUUGUGGGGAACUGCCCUUACAUGACAGAAGAAUCCUGAAAUAUUGGAAUUAAGGCUCCUAAUCAACAAGCUGUACUUAAACAAGCCUCUCAUUUGGCUUUAUCCUCAUUAGUGACUGACCCAAAUUAUACGUACCACACUCCAGUGGCUCUCUGACACCAAAAA